GCGUCCACUUCCGCCUCCCUUCCACUUCCGCUUCCGCUCGCUAAGUCCCGCCUCACCCCUCUAAUUGGCCGACGAGCCGGAAGAGCCGUCUGUGAUUAGGGGAACGCAGCGCGCCAAACUUUCCGAUUGGCGGAGAGAACGCAGGGGGAGGCCUCUGAUUGGCGGAGCCUCGCUUCGCUCCGCCCACCGCGGAGGUAUAAAAGGGACGGAGCGGCGUGGGCGCCGCCAUUUUGUGGCUGAGGUGAGGCGGGGAGCGGAGGGGCGGGGGCGCGUUUAAAUCGAUAUUUUAACGGUUUUUAAAGCGAUUUUUGAUAUUUUACCGGUUCCUCCCGUUCUUGGCGGGGCCCGGCGACGCCGUGCCGGGGCCUGUAAUGUUUUGGGAGGAAGAGCAGCGACCGGCGCGAUGUCUGCGGUGCCCGCGGUGUCCCGUCCGCCGGUCCUACCCUCGCGCGCCGGGACAAGGCCCCGCCCGGGACCAUCCGGUUCCUUCGGGGGGAGGGGGGAGUCCGGUGCCGCCGUUUUAACGCCGUUUUAACGCCGUUUUCUCCUCCCACAGGGCCCGCCGGGGGACGGAGGUGACAUCGGGGGACGCGGGGUGAGUGUGGGGGGGUGUGUGUGUCCGGUUGUGCCUCGUUAAGCCUUAAUAAAGUCGUUUUCGCACCCGCUCGCCUCGUCUCGUCCGUCCGUCCGUUACCGUACACGAGGCCUCACGGUUGGGUUGAAGGGGGAGGGGGGGGGACGCUGCGUGGUUGUGGGGAACAAUAAAGGCCCUCCACGCCGCCCGCAGUGCGAUGGGGGGGGUCCUCAGGGUGUCCCCGCAGCCGUUAAUGACGGGGGGGGUGAAGCGGGAGCUCAUCGCAGCCUCCCCAGGUCACCGGCGCCGGGACCCGCCGGUGGGUCCUCCAGCUCGGUUCUCCAACCGCCCCGUCUCUAUGGUAGCGGAGGGGCAGGGAGUCCCGGAAGUAGGCAUCUCUAUGGUGCGGGAGGAGCAGAGCGACACCCGGAACUGGCCGUCUGUGAUAGAGGCGCAGAGUACCGGAAGUCGCUAUCUCUAUGGUAACCGGCCGGGCAGAGAGUCCCGGAGGUGCCCGUUUAUGACGGCGGAGGAGGAGAGUACCGGAAGUGGCCAUCUCUAUGGUGCCGGAGGGGUAGAGCGGUACCCGGAAGUGCCCGUCUCUAUGGUAGCGGAGGCGCAGAGCGGCACCCGGAAGCCCGGCCAUGGAGGCGGCGCGGCGCUGGGCCCGGGCGCUGCUGCGGGGGUCGGUGCCGGUUGGGGCCGGGCUCCUGCUCUGGGUGGCGGUUGGAGCGGGCGAGGAGCGGCGCCACGAGACUCUCAAGGCCCUGCCCGAGGUCAGCCCCGAGCUCCUGGCCCAGCGGCGGCGGCACAACGAGCUGGUGAUGGCGGCGCUGCGGGAGGCGGCUCAGACCGACGACAACGUGGCGCGGCGGCCGGUGCCUUGGCGGAAGUGACGUCAGAUCCACCGGGACCCCCCCCGUUCACCCCCCCCUCCCCCCGAUAAACCGGCUCCUCGUUUUCCCCCGGAACCUUUCUCUCGGCGCCGCGUUGCAGCCCGGACCCUUUUACUCCGUUGCACACGGAGCGCUGUUGCGCACGGCCCUUUUUGGCGGUUGCACGCGGCCUUCCCUUCCGGCGCCGCCAUGUCGGGCCCGGGGCGGGCGGAGGCGGCAGCUCCGGCUCCGGUGAAGCCGCUGUUCGGGGGGUG
rnacentral:lncRNA from 1 species